AACGAACGCUGGCGGCAGGCUUAACACAUGCAAGUCGAGCGCCCCGCCAGGGGUGCGGCAGACGGGUGAGUAACGCGUGGGAACGUACCUUUUGGUUCGGAACAACUCCGGGAAACUGGAGCUAAUACCGGAUAAGCCCUAACGGGGAAAGAUUUAUCGCCGAAAGAUCGGCCCGCGUCUGAUUAGCUAGUUGGUGAGGUAACGGCUCACCAAGGCGACGAUCAGUAGCUGGUCUGAGAGGAUGAUCAGCCAUACUGGGACUGAGACACGGCCCAGACUCCUACGGGAGGCAGCAGUGGGGAAUAUUGGACAAUGGGCGCAAGCCUGAUCCAGCCAUGCCGCGUGAGUGAUGAAGGCCUUAGGGUUGUAAAGCUCUUUUGUCCGGGAAGAUAAUGACUGUACCGGAAGAAUAAGCCCCGGCUAACUUCGUG
rnacentral:rRNA from 1 species